AGGCAUAGCUGCCUAGUUAAUGUUGGUAACAACUUGAUUACUUACUGCAUGGUAAUCACCUAAUUAGAUCCAGGUGCGCUAUAAGGUGCGUGAGUGAAUAAGGAGGGUUUCUGAGUUGCUGGGAAGCGUGUUGACUGCUGCAGACUUCGACGGCGUCUUUCCGAGCUGUUCCCGCAUGGGGAUCUUUUGAGCCACACACAAUUUUGUAUGCAUCCUGGGCUGUGUUUAUCCAUUUGUGGUAAGACGUUGGAAGGGCUGAUUUACUAGUAUUCAGUUGAAGGGGUCAAGAGCUGGUAAUAUGUCUACAUGAUUACAGCGAGCUGAGUGGGACCGCAACUGGGCUUCCCCUUCCUGUUUGGUCUUUUAUCUUCGGGUUUCAAGUACCUUCGCACUGUUGCGCGUGGCCGUGAUGUUCCGCCUUGCCUAAUUCGCGCCUGCUUGACCAGUCUGCAUCCAGUGAACUUGACGUCUGGAGAUUGUGAGACCCGAGUGAAUGAAUACAUAAAUUGAUGUAAGAUUGUGUGUGUGUGCGUUCGUUUAUUGUUGGAAGUGUGCGUGAGAAAUAAUAAAUCUUUUUUUUUUUUAUUAUUGACUUGAUUUGUGACAGUUUGAUGUUAAUUUGUAUAAUUUUUGUUGGAUUGCCUAGGAAGGAGUGCUGACCACUCUAGGUCCAAGUUAAUGGGUACCCUUGUUCACUGAGUGAUUUUAAUUCUUAAUUUUCCGUCACCUGAAUGCACGUGUGCUUGUGGUGCAGUGAGUACAUCAGUGUACGUUUGUUAUUUCUCCUCGCCUUCUGACAAGUAACCUUUUUUGGAUUGUAUGAUUUUGUUUAUUUUCUUUUACUUUAGUUUUGAUUUGAGCCAUAUUAACCCCUUGUGUACUGAAGUGUGUGUGUGUGUGUGUGGAGUUUUAGUUAGCCAUAAAGUGUUAUUUUUUAUAUA